AUGAACGCAAGUGAAUUCCGAAGGAGAGGGAAGGAGAUGGUGGAUUACAUGGCCAACUACAUGGAAGGCAUUGAGGGACGCCAGGUCUACCCUGACGUGGAGCCCGGGUACCUGCGGCCGCUGAUCCCUGCCGCUGCCCCUCAGGAGCCAGACACGUUUGAGGACAUCAUCAACGACGUUGAGAAGAUAAUCAUGCCUGGGGUGACGCACUGGCACAGCCCCUACUUCUUCGCCUACUUCCCCACUGCCAGCUCGUACCCGGCCAUGCUUGCGGACAUGCUGUGCGGGGCCAUUGGCUGCAUCGGCUUCUCCUGGGCGGCAAGCCCAGCAUGCACAGAGCUGGAGACUGUGAUGAUGGACUGGCUCGGGAAGAUGCUGGAACUACCAAAGGCAUUUUUGAAUGAGAAAGCUGGAGAAGGGGGAGGAGUGAUCCAGGGAAGUGCCAGUGAAGCCACCCUGGUGGCCCUGCUGGCCGCUCGGACCAAAGUGAUCCAUCGGCUGCAGGCAGCGUCCCCAGAGCUCACACAGGCCGCUAUCAUGGAGAAGCUGGUGGCUUACUCAUCCGAUCAGGCACACUCCUCAGUGGAAAGAGCUGGGUUAAUUGGUGGAGUGAAAUUAAAAGCCAUCCCCUCAGAUGGCAACUUCGCCAUGCGUGCGUCUGCCCUGCAGGAAGCCCUGGAGAGAGACAAAGCGGCUGGCCUGAUUCCUUUCUUUUCAAUUCCACAGUGUAAUGUGGAAGAACUGACAUGGCUCAAAGUUAGCACGCAGAGCAAGGUGACAGCCAAGACAUUUUGAAGGAUGCAAAAAGAGUCUGCCAGUGGAUCAAGGUGUACCUGCCAUCUUAUCCCAAAAGUCUUAUCUUUCUCCGUUGCGUUCAUCUCCACAGGCCAUACAGAUGGUUGCCACCCUGGGGACCACAACAUGCUGCUCCUUUGACAAUCUCUUAGAAGUCGGUCCUAUCUGCAACAAGGAAGACAUAUGGCUGCACGUUGAUGCAGCCUACGCAGGCAGUGCAUUCAUCUGCCCUGAGUUCCGGCACCUUCUGAAUGGAGUGGAGUUUGCAGAUUCAUUCAACUUUAAUCCCCACAAAUGGCUAUUGGUGAAUUUUGACUGUUCUGCCAUGUGGGUGAAAAAGAGAACAGACUUAACGGGAGCCUUUAGACUGGACCCCACUUACCUGAAGCACAGCCAUCAGGAUUCAGGGCUUAUCACUGACUACCGGGGUUCCAACAAAGUGAAUGAAGCUCUUCUGCAAAGAAUAAACAGUGCCAAAAAAAUCCACUUGGUUCCAUGUCACCUCAGGGACAAGUUUGUCCUGCGCUUUGCCAUCUGUUCUCGCACGGUGGAAUCUGCCCAUGUGCAGCGGGCCUGGGAACACAUCAAAGAGCUGGCGGCCGACGUGCUGCGAGCAGAGAGGGAGUAGGAGUGAAGCCAGCUGCAGGAAUCAAAAAUUGAAGAGAGAUAUAUCUGAAAACUGGAAUAAGAAGCAAAUAAAUAUCAUCCUGCCUUCAUGGAACUCAGCUGUCUGUGGCUUCCCAUGUCUUUCUCCAAAGUUAUCCAGAGGGUUGUGAUUUUGUCUGCUUAGUAUCUCAUCAACAAAGAAAUAUUAUUUGCUAAUUAAAAAGUUAAUCUUCAUGGCCAUAGCUUUUAUUCAUUAGCUGUGAUUUUUGUUGAUUAAAACAUUAUAGAUUUUCAUGUUCUUGCAGUCAUCAGAAGUGGUAGGAAAGCCUCACUGAUAUAUUUUCCAGGGCAAUCAAUGUUCACGCAACUUGAAAUUAUAUCUGUGGUCUUCAAAUUGUCUUUUGUCAUGUGGCUAAAUGCCUAAUAAACAAUUCAAGUGAAAUACUAA
rnacentral:misc_RNA from 1 species